ensembl:lncRNA
GAGGGACUGGGAGGGACUGGGAGGGACAGCGAUAGACUGGGAAGAACUGGGAGGGACUGGAAGAGAACUGGGAGGGAGCUGGGGUGGACUGGGAGGGACUGGGAAGAACUGGGAGAGAACUGGGAGGGACUGGAAGGAACUGGGAGGCAACUGGGAAGGACUGGGAGGGAACUGGGAUGGAUUGGGAGGGAACUGGGAGGGACUGGGAUGGCACUGGGAUGGGACUGGGAGGGAGCUGGGGUGGACUGGGAGGCAACUGGGAGGGACUGGGAGGGAACUGGGAGGAACUGGGAGGGACUGGGAGGAAACUGGGAUGGACUGGGAAGGAACUGGGAGGGACUGGGAGGGGCACCACGCCCAUCCCUUGCACAAGAGCUGCUCACAGAACCCCCAGCGCCCCUCCCUGACCCAGCACACACACGUGUGCAAGGCACCGCGUGUGCAAAACCUCACACGUGCAGAGCCGCAUGCGUGUGCAAAGCCCCACAUAUGUGCAAAGCCCCACAUUUGUGCAAAGCCCCACGUGUGCAACGCGCCCCCUGCGUGCACAACCUCAGCUGUUCAACCCCCCACGUGAGUAAAGCCCCACUUGUGCAACGCCCCACGCGUGCAACGCCCCGCAUGUCCCAAACCUCAGCCGUGCAAAGCCCCACACGCGUGCAAAGACCCCCGCCACGUGUGCACUCACUACUGCAUGGUUCCGUAUCCCUGGGGGAAGAUGAGCGCGGAGCAGAGCACGAGGACGGCGGGCAGCCCGUAGCCGCUCACCAGCGCGUGCCACACGCGCAGCCACGACGGCUCGAACACUCGCACGAGGAGCACGUAGAGGUGCAGCCCCUCCAGGCACAUCCACGUGAAAGCCGACAGGAAGGAGAAGUGCAACAGCCCCGCCACCACCGCGCACGCCGUCUGCACGAGGACACGCACAAACACACGGGGAGCUCGCACGGCUUUGCACGAGGCCGGGCAGCCCUUUGGCGGUGACUGCUGGCCACGUGCAAGGGGUUGCCGUGUGUUCACGGUGGAACGGUUGUGCUUGCUGGGCUGUGGGGGGGGUGGUGAGCUUUUUGCACGCCUCUUGCACGAGUGUGCCUCUUGCACGAGUGUGCCUCAUGGCCUCCUGUGGGGUGCAGCUCGCGUGCAAGCCGCCCCCCAUCCUUCCCCUGUGCUCUCUCUGUGCCUCUCAGCCGUUCUAAUGGCUCUCUUUGCACACGCUUGCACACCCUUGCACAAGAGCCCCCAGUGCUCUCCUGUGCACCGCCAGCCACGUGCAAGGCCCCCCUCAUCCCUCCCCACAGCUCCUCCUCUACCUCUGACUCGCUCAGGUGUUCACCAGCCCUUGCACAAGAGCACCCUGCACCCUCUUGUGCACCACCAGCCCCCCCGUCUACCUCUAACCCAUUCAGGUGCCCACCAGACCUUGCACACUUUUGCACGAGAGGUCCGAUAUCCUCCCCUCAUCCUUUCAGUGCCCCAUUCUGUGUCUAAGACAUUCUGGUGCCCACCAGCCAUUGCACACUUUUGCACGCCCUUGCACAAGAGCCCUCACUGCCCUCUCCUGAACAUCCAGUUCCGUGCAAGCCGCUCAAAAACCUUUCCCACUCCCUCCUCUCCAUUUCUUAACCAUUCCAGUGCCCACCAACCCNNNNNNNNNNNNNNNNNNNNNNNNNNNNUCACUGCCUUGUGCUGAACUGCCAGUUCCGUGCAAGCCGCUCCAAAACCUUUCCCACUCCCUCCUCUCCAUUUCUUAACCAUUCCGGUGCCCACCAUCCCUCUCACACCUUUCCACGCCCUUGCACAAGAGCCCCCACAGCCCUCCCACGCCCCGCCAGUUCCGUGCAAACCCCCCUCACCGGGUUGUGGGUGCUCUCGAUGCCCAGCAGGAAAGUUCCGUGCGCCAGGAGCAAAGCGAUGCUCAGGUGGAGGUGGAGGACGCGGCGCAGGCCUUUGGGGACGCGGCACACGAGGAAAGUGACAAUGGCCA